rnacentral:lncRNA from 1 species
ACAUAUUUGUCACUAGUAUUAACAUAUAAUACCACUAUUACAUAGAUUAAAUUGCUAAAAAAGGUAGAAUCUUUAGCAAAUAAAGCAUAUCUGCAAUAUUAAUAAUAAUUCUUUAAACAGCCAUCUACCCCAAUUAGGAAAGGUACAAUAAUGAUGAACUAGAGUUUGAGGUUUUUUUUGGCUGCACCCAUGGCAUGUAGAAGUUCCAGGGCCAGGGCUCAAACCCAUGACACAGAAGUGACUGGAGCUAUAGUGACCCAAGCCACAGCAGUGACAAUCCCAGAUCCUAACCCACUGUACCACCAGGGAACUCCCGAAGUUUUAAUUUUGAAGAGAAGGAAUUAAGCAGGAAGAGGAAGAGAGGAAUAAUAUUAAUAGGAGAGAGAGACAUGGUGAAAAUAUAACUCUUUGGGGUUUUUUUGUGUUUUUUUUUUGUGUUUUUUUUUAGAGCCACUCCCUCGGCACAUGGAGGUUCCCAGCGUUGCCGCAAGCUGUGGCAUAGGUCACAGAUGCAGCUCAGAUCCUGCAUUGCUGUGGCUGUGGUGUAGGCUGGCAGCUGCAGCUCUGAUUUUAACCCUAGCCUGGAAUCUUCCACAUGCCGCAGGAAGAAAAAAAAUAUCUAUCAUUGGAGGAUGAUCUAAAAGACAAAAAAACUGUGCGAUACCCAGUUUUGAAAACCAUCAGAUUUCAAGGACUACUACUAAAGAUCUUCUGUGAAUCUGUUGAGCAGCAAAUUAAAUUUGCAUUUUGGGAUUACUGAGAACACUGUUAAAAUACAUGCAAUCGCCUUUUAGAACUGAAAACAUGACCUUCUGAAAAAUCUUUUUAAGGCACUUUGGAUCUUGAAUAUACUGUUUCCUUCUUUACUGUGACUGCCAUGAUGACUAGGGUCAAAUUUGUAAUCCAUCUUUAGAACUCACAAAUUUUUACUGCAGCCAUUUUGUGUAUUAACUUUAUCCAUGACUUCAUUUUAAUUUCCCCUUAUAUUCUCCGUGAUUUCUCCAUUCAAUUGCAAUAACGUUUUCUGGUAUCUCUGUAAACAGCAUCACAUCACUGGGGAGAGGGAUUGAUGCGAAUAAAUAAAAAUGAAGAAAAUCAUCCUCUCAAUCAGGGUGCAGACCUGUUUCAGCAUAUUUAUGACAGGGUUUUUUUUUUAAUUUGAAUUCACCAUUAAUAUUUUAAAAUCCCAGUAUUUCAUAUAAAAAUCCAGAUUUCAGAUGGCUCCGUGGCAAAAUGUAACAAGUUCUUAUCUCCCUGGACCAACAUGCUGGCGAGAUGAGUCCUUAAGCCGCCACUUCGGUCUCCAGUGGUCACAGAAAUCCUCACACAUCCACUUUGCUCAUUCAUAUUACCUGAGAGAUUUGCUAAUGAGUUCCAAAAAAGGAAGGAACGUCAGGAUUCUGCAAUACAAACAGGAGGGCGCGCGUCUUUUUCGUUCUUUGAAAGACGUUGUAGAAAUAACAGACACAAUUCAUUCUGCAAACCUUCACUGGACCUCUCCGCUGCGCUGGGCCCUGGCGAUAGGUGAUUUAAAAAAGAAGCAGAGGUCUGGGUCCUGGUUGGCUGAUGCCGCCAGGAAUUACCGCCACGAGCACAAGGAGCGUUGAACUGAGGUCAGUUCUGAACCGAAGGUGGAACGGUACUUAGCGUAGAAUAUUUAUUAAAGCGUCUCAGCCAGGUUCCCCUGCAUUAGACAGUCGUCCAAGCAGUCCACGGCCCGUUCGCAGAUGGGGCGGGAAGACAAAGUCACGUCUCGGCUCCGCGUUGAUUCACCCGCAACGCGACUCCU